AGCUUGAGGUUAAAGUUGAUGAAAGAUGGUUCUGUAAACUUAGGCACUGAAUAGUGGUCUAGUGUGGGUGUGGCCCCUCUUUCUGAAUCUACAAUUACAAAGGAAGGAGCUGCAUGCACCUACAUACAGGCCUUUGUUGCUUCCAUAAAGCAAGCUGCCUUGGAGCCAUUGCUGCGUGACAUGUAUGAUUCCUGUCUUUUAACCUCUCUCACCCCCUGUUCUGGUUAACAAUGUUGAAUCAAACUAUGUAGUGCUGCCAGAGCAUCUUUACCAAAGUAAUGCGAAUGCCUUGUUUUU